UCCGCGGCAACGAAUACGAGCUCGGCAAUAGAGGAAUUGUUGGAGAAUAGACACACAAUAGAAAAACCAUGGAGAUCGCGUACGAGGUUCAUGAAUACUGGGACACAUCCUGGUUUGUCCUCUGCCGCAAGUUCAGCCAAAAACAUUAAUUCUGAGAUAACAUGAGAAAUUUAAAGCUGACAGUAUUGAAGAGAUUACUACAGACACAAAAACCAUGUACAACUGUGGUAGACACUUGACUGAAGACAGCACAGGAUCAAAAAUUUGCAGGACAUGAGAUCACAGGGCAAUCAUGACAUUGGAAGGAGGAUUUUUAGAUGGGUACAGGCAUAAAAUUGCAUAUUUGGUGAAAAUAUGAUGUUAAGUAGGCACAGCUGUGCUGUGCAACAUAUGCACAAAGAUAAAAUCUCUGCUGGUACUGGCUGUAUUAAUUUGUGUUUAAAAUAUUCAAAUGCCAUCUGAAAAUUAUUAUUUUUGUGGUAUUCUCUUAUAUCUUUUCAGUAAAGAAAUGAAACAUGACAUUUCAGUUACAUUUUACCAUUACAAAGAUAUGACAGAUUAGCUUCAGUUAUUCCAGUGCUGGCUUACAGCUUAUUUUUGGCUAGAUAACGCUGAAAGUGUGGGGGGAACCAUGUUUCUUCCAGAUUCCAAUCAUACUUCCUGAACAGAUUCAAAUUUGCUGACAGGGUAUGCCAGUUAAUUUAGUUUUCAUUGGGACUGUGUUUGAUUUAGUAAGCAUAAAUAAAAAAAUCUGCAAUUUUCUUCUCAGUAGCUUAAGCACAUGCAACUAUAAAGGUGUUCUCAUUGCUUUCUACAGAUCCUGUUCCUACUAACUGGACUAAUUAAGAGGAAUUCCAUUAGUCUAUGCAUAUAUGGUUGCAAUGCAUUAAAAGCACAUACCUCUUUAAAUUUUUUAUGGUUGGCAGGAUACUAUUUUAUGUUAGGUGUGACUUCUGGUUUAUUCAACAAUAAUUUAUCAUCUACAGGGAUUAUACAGUGUUGAAUGGGAAAUGGGAAACAGACGGACAGUCAUAAGCUACUUUAAGCAACUGCCUUUGUAUUUUGUGUAUUCUGUCUGGAGGAGCAGAAAGAACACAAAAAUUAGGAUAGUCAGUCUUCCUAUCAAAAUUGAGUCCAGAGGUGGGGUACUGUGUCAACUUCCAUGCUUUGUUUGAUGUAAAGGCUUAACAUGUCAUUACAGAAUUCGG